AAACCAUGAUGAGGACAUCUUCUUAGGAUAUCCUUGAAACUUUCAUGCGCCUCAAAGAGUGUCUCAAAAUUACCCUUCUUGAAGGCCGAAAUCUCUUGCCUUAGUCU